AUAAUUACCUGGCAGUAGAGUGACUGUGAUCACCAAGGCUGUUCUCCUGGGCUGAGCCUUGUCCAUUGUACUCCGGGCGUGCUGACGCCUGCUAUGCUCCAAAUGUGGGACACUCGACAGUACAAUGUGUGGUGGUGGGCACUGCAUUCGUGUUCUCCCCAA